GCUCAACUGAGGAAUUGCUUUGGAAACUGGAUGACUUGAGUGCAGUAGAGGAAAGUGGAACUCCAUGUGUAGCGGUGAAAUGCGUAGAUAUAUGGAAGAACACCAGUGGCGAAGGCGGCUUUCUGGACUGUAACUGACGUUGAGGCUCGAAAGUGUGGGUAGCAAACAGGAUUAGAUACCCUGGUAGUCCACACCGUAAACGAUGAGUGCUAGGUGUUUGAGGGUUUCCGCCCUUAAGUGCCGCAGCUAACGCAUUAAGCACUCCGCCUGGGGAGUACGACCGCAAGGUUAAAACUCGAAGGAAUUGACGGGGACCCGCACAAGCGGUGGAGCAUGUGGUUUAAUUCGAAGCAACGCGAAGAACCUUACCAGGUCUUGACAUCCCUUGACAACUCCAGAGAUGGAGCGUUCCCUUCGGGGACAAGGUGACAGGUGGUGCAUGGUUGUCGUCGGCUCGUGUCGUGAGAUGUUGGGUUAAGUCCCGCAACGAGCGCAACCCUUAUUACUAGUUGCCAGCAUUCAGUUGGGCACUCUAGUGAGACUGCCGGUGACAAACCGGAGGAAGGUGGGGAUGACGUCAAAUCAUCAUGCCCCUUAUGACCUGGGCUACACACGUGCUACAAUGGCGUAUACAACG
rnacentral:rRNA from 1 species